AACACAUGCAAGUCGAACGAUGAACACCGGAGCUUGCUCUGGUGGGAUUAGUGGCGAACGGGUGAGUAACACGUGAGCAAUCUGCCCCCGACUCUGGGAUAACCCCGAGAAAUCGGAGCUAAUACCGGAUACGACACCUCCUGGCAUCAGGUGGGUGUGGAAAGAAUUUCGGUUGGGGAUGAGCUCGCGGCCUAUCAGCUUGUUGGUGAGGUAAUGGCUCACCAAGGCGACGACGGGUAGCCGGCCUGAGAGGGUGACCGGCCACACUGGGACUGAGACACGGCCCAGACUCCUACGGGAGGCAGCAGUGGGGAAUAUUGCACAAUGGGCGCAAGCCUGAUGCAGCAACGCCGCGUGGGGGACGACGGCCUUCGGGUUGUAAACCUCUUUUGGCAGGGAAGAAGCGAAAGUGGCGGUACCUGCAGAAAAAGCACCGGCUAACUACGUGCCAGCAGCCGCGGUAAUACGUAGGGUGCAAGCGUUGUCCGGAAUUAUUGGGCGUAAAGAGCUCGUAGGCGGUGUGUCACGUCUGCUGUGAAAAUCCAAGGCUCAACCUUGGACUUGCAGUGGGUACGGGCACACUCGAGUGCGGUAGGGGAGAUUGGAAUUCCUGGUGUAGCGGUGGAAUGCGCAGAUAUCAGGAGGAACACCGAUGGCGAAGGCAGAUCUCUGGGCCGUAACUGACGCUGAGGAGCGAAAGCGUGGGGAGCGAACAGGAUUAGAUACCCUGGUAGUCCACGCCGUAAACGGUGGGAACUAGAUGUGGGGUCCGUUCCACGGAUUCCGUGUCGCAGCUAACGCAUUAAGUUCCCCGCCUGGGGAGUACGGCCGCAGCUAAACUCAAGAUUGACGGGGCCCGCACAGCGCGAGCAUGCGAUAUCGAUGCACGCGAGAUCUAACAGCUGACAUAUAGAGAAAGUGCAGAGAUGCACUCCCCGCAGUCUCUUAUACAGGUGGUGCA
rnacentral:rRNA from 1 species